GGGCUUGACUGGAUUUGACAGCGAGAUGAAAGGGUAUGUAAGCAUGCAGAGGGUCGGUGAUUACCUCUUACAAUCUCAGUUACCAAAGAUUUAUCUGGCGAAAACAACUACGCUCUCGCUGCGUAAUCGAAGUAUAGUAGAUUACCUUUAUUUCGGCACAAGGUGCUGAAACGGGAUGUCACUCAGAGGCUGUUGCUCCGAAGCGCUCUGACCCAGUGGCACAGCAAAAUCGGGGAUAGUCCUGGCACGCCUUGAUACCUGGAUGAAACUUUAGAGGAUAAGGCAUUGGUUGGUGGCCCUGGUCUUGCCAAUGCACGAAAAUCUCAGGCAGGGAUAAGCAUGUAGAAAGCAUAUUUUUUCCUUGUUUGGACGAGGGUUCGACUCCCUCCAGGUCCACUU
rnacentral:tmRNA from 1 species